UCCCUGGUGGUCCAAUGGUUAAGACUCUGAGCUCCCAAUACAGGGGGCUCGGGUUCCAUCCCUGGUCAGGGAA
rnacentral:tRNA from 1 species